GCCUAGGUGGCUCAGUCGGUUAAGCAUCUGACUUCAGCUCAGGUCAUGAUCUCACAGUUUGUGAGUUUGAGCCCCACAUCAGGCU
rnacentral:tRNA from 1 species